UACGGGGGGUGCAAGCGUUGUUCGGAUUUAUUGGGCGUAAAGCGCGUGUAGGCGGUUUGUUAAGUCUGUUGUGAAAGCCCUGGGCUCAACCCGGGAAGUGCACUGGAUACUGGCAGACUUGAAUACGGGAGAGGAGAGUGGAAUUCCUGGUGUAGGAGUGAAAUCCGCAGAUAUCAGGAGGAACACCGGUGGCGAAGGCGGGUCUCUGGGCCGACAUUGACGCUGAGGAGCGAAAGCGUGGGGAGCGAACAGG
rnacentral:rRNA from 1 species